CGUUGUCCGGAAUUAUUGGGCGUAAAGGGCUCGUCGGCGGUUUGUCGCGUCGGGAGUGAAAUCCACUGGCUUAACUGGUGGCUUGCUUUCGAUACGGGCAGACUGGAGGUAUGCAGGGGAGAACGGAAUUCCUGGUGUAGCGGUGAAAUGCGCAGAUAUCAGGAGGAACACCGGUGGCGAAGGCGGUGCUCUGGGCAGGUCCUGACGCUGAGGAGCGAAAGUGUGGGGAGCGAACAGG
rnacentral:rRNA from 1 species